UCUCCGCUUAAGAUCAGGCCAAUAGCUAGUCAGUUUUGAGAACUGACAGCAUUUUAGACCACUGAAAAGUAAGAUUACCUUUGUGAAUACCACCUUUUAAACCCAAGCCUGGUAACUGCUUUUCUCUUUGUUCCAACCUUGAAAGGUAUCGGAGCGCUGGUGUGGCUGGCCCCACUCCCCCAUGGCCUGUGCGGCCUUGGGGGCCCGGGCCAGACUCCAGCAGCUCCUGGGCAGGCUCUGCUGUGGCCCUAGGCUGGGCCAGGCCACAGCUGCUGACAUCUCACUGGUACCCUCUCACCUCCCCAUGGCCUGCACAGACAGCUCCAGGCCUAAAACCGUCCACUGCCUUCCAGUGGCUGCUGGGCUGAGAGAGACACCUGAAAUCCAUGAGACACCAUGAAGACCUGCAUGGCUUGGGCCAGAUUUAAAGUUUUCACUACACAGAUGAGGCCUGCAGACUUAAUCCCAUCUCCAGAGAGAGGAAAGUGGGAACUCAACAUGUAAAAGAAAACAUGAAACAUCAAGGUUUUAAGCCUAUUUGGCCCUUCUCCUAAUCGAUACCUCACAGCAAGAAAUGAUGAGUGGCCCUGUGGGGCUGAGUUGCAAGCUGGGUUUAAACCAUGACAACUUAUAAACUUAUCUAGCAGAGGGUCCUGAGAACUUACUAGCGGUGGAUCUCUGAAUAUAUGUGCUUUCAUCCAGUGAAUAUAGGAGCAAAACUGGAAGAGAAGGGGAUGCAGCAUCAGCAAAUUAUCCACCAAGUCUAGGUUGCUUUAUUCAUUGUGAAAGUACUGAUUUCACUGCCAUAUUUGAAGAAGAGUGCUUUACUAUAUAUACUUUUACAAAUAUGGAGUCUAAGUACCAUCAAGUGCCUUGCAUAGAUUCCCACAAAAACAUAAGCCCUGUAUGUACCUUUUUGCUCUAUGUUUCAAAAUAAUCCACUUCAGCUCAGGUCUAGACUGCCACCAUCAGCAUUGCUACAUAUCCCAUUGUGCAGCUACAGCAAUUAUUUAUUAUUCAAUGACAACAAUGUAGCAGAAGUGCUGGCGUUAUGAUUCUUCAUAUGUAUUAAGAGUUCAAUAAAACAAUCUGCUGAAUAUCUUUUUGUUUGUCUGAUGAACAAGACAUUCUCUACAGAUAAUACACCAGAUCACAUUGUAGUAAGUAUGAAUCUCAGUAGGAAACUAGUAUGCUGUAUUUCAAACCUGUCAACAUUUUUCAUGUAACUCCAAAAAAUUAUUCAUUGCAUUUUCCUCCCACAAAUUCUCCAAAUUAAAUAUGCUUAAUACAGAAUAUACAUUCUAAAGGCUUCAAAUGGAAAAAAAAAAAAUCAGGUAUUAAUAAAGUCAGCAUGUUAAGUUUUUUUACAUCUCACUACUUCUUUCACUUUUAAUAAUAUAGUGUGCUGAG